UUAGCUUAGUGGUAGAGCGCCACCUUGACACGGUGGAGGUCAGAGGUUCAAGUCCUCUA
rnacentral:tRNA from 1 species